rnacentral:rRNA from 1 species
GACGAACGCUGGCGGCGUGCUUAACACAUGCAAGUCGAGCGGUAAGGCCCUUUCGGGGGUACACGAGCGGCGAACGGGUGAGUAACACGUGGGUGACCUGCCCUCAGCUCUGGGAUAAGCCUGGGAAACCGGGUCUAAUACUGGAUAUGACUCCAUGACGCAUGUUGUGGGGUGGAAAGCCUUGUGCGGCUGAGGAUGGGCUCGCGGCCUAUCAGCUUGUUGGUGGGGUGAUGGCCUACCAAGGCGACGACGGGUAGCCGGCCUGAGAGGGCGACCGGCCACACUGGGACUGAGACACGGCCCAGACUCCUACGGGAGGCAGCAGUGGGGAAUCUUGCGCAAUGGGCGAAAGCCUGACGCAGCGACGCCGCGUGAGGGAUGACGGCCU